rnacentral:rRNA from 1 species
AUUGAACGCUGGCGGCAGGCCUAACACAUGCAAGUCGAGCGAGCGGCGGACGGGUGAGUAAUGUCUGGGAAACUGCCUGAUGGAGGGGGAUAACUACUGGAAACGGUAGCUAAUACCGCAUACCAUCAGAUGUGCCCAGAUGGGAUUGGCUAGUAGGUGGGGUAACGGCUCACCUAGGCGACGAUCCCUAGCUGGUCUGAGAGGAUGACCAGCCAAAGUUGAACUGAGACACGGUCCAAACUCCAACGGGGGGCAGCGAUGGGUAAUAUUGCACAAGGGGCGAAAUCCGGAUGCAGCUAUGCCGCGUGUGUGAAGAAGGCCUUCGGGUUGUAAAGCACUUUCAGCGGGGAUGCGUUACCCGCAGAAGAAGCACCGGCUAACUCCGUGCCAGCAGCCGCGGUAAUAC